UGGGGAAUUUUGGACAAUGGGCGAAAGCCUGAUCCAGCAAUGCCGCGUGUGUGAAGAAGGCCUUCGGGUUGUAAAGCACUUUUGUCCGGAAAGAAAUCCUUGGCUCUAAUACAGUCGGGGGAUGACGGUACCGGAAGAAUAAGCACCGGCUAACUACGUGCCAGCAGCCGCGGUAAUACGUAGGGUGCAAGCGUUAAUCGGAAUUACUGGGCGUAAAGCGUGCGCAGGCGGUUUGCUAAGACCGAUGUGAAAUCCCCGGGCUCAACCUGGGAACUGCAUUGGUGACUGGCAGGCUAGAGUAUGGCAGGAGGGGGGUAGAAUUCCACGUGUAGCAGUGAAAUGCGUAGAGAUGUGGAGGAAUACCGAUGGCGAAGGCAGCCCCCUGGGCCAAUACUGACGCUCAUGCACGAAAGCGUGGGGAGCAAACAGGAUUAGAUACCCUGGUAGUCCACGCCCUAAACGAUGUCAACUAGUUGUUGGGGAUUCAUUUCCUUAGUAACGUAGCUAACGCGUGAAGUUGACCGCCUGGGGAGUACGGUCGCAAGAUUAAAACUCAAAUGAAUUGACGGGGUCAUAGCUGUUUCCU
rnacentral:rRNA from 1 species